AGAAAAAAGUGCAGUCUUUUAUUUCCCUUGAGUUGUUCUAUACUGUUUAAAAAAUCGCGUUGGGUGCUUUGAAUGGCAGCCAUUUGUCUGGAAAGGGAGCUAAGCGAAGUGUUUAAAUGGCAACCAGGUUUAUCCGAAGCACUGCGGCUGCGCGAGCAGAACAGCAGAACGCUCAACGUUGUGACUCAGGAGAGAGAUCUGAAGCUCCACCAGCUAACUAGGAGAUUUUUCGUCUGCCGAGGCCAGGUGUGACGGAUGCUAACAUGGCCCGUUUUUAUCGUCCCUGAACGUGUUGCCGACUUGGAAAUUUAUUAACAUUUCUAAAUGUGUGAAAUUAAAAUUUAUGUCUGUGUCUUUAUGUGUUCUGAUGGUUUGUGAAUAAAAAAUUGACACAU